GGGGGUGUGGCUCAAGCAGUAGAGCGCUUGCCUGGCAUGCACGCGGUACUGGGUUCGAUCCUCAGCACCACAU
rnacentral:tRNA from 1 species